AAGCCUGAUGCAGCAACGCCGCGUGAACGAUGAAGGUCUUCGGAUCGUAAAGUUCUGUUGCAGGGGAAGAUAAUGACGGUACCCUGUGAGGAAGCCCCGGCUAACUACGUGCCAGCAGCCGCGGUAAUACGUAGGGGGCUAGCGUUAUCCGGAUUUACUGGGCGUAAAGGGUGCGUAGGUGGUCCUUCAAGUCGGUGGUUAAGGGCUACGGCUCAACCGUAGUAAGCCGCCGAAACUGGAGGACUUGAGUGCAGGAGAGGAAAGUGGAAUUCCCAGUGUAGCGGUGAAAUGCGUAGAUAUUGGGAGGAACACCAGUAGCGAAGGCGGCUUUCUGGACUGCAACUGACACUGAGGCACGAAAGCGUGGGUAGCAAACAGGAUUAGAUACCCUGGUAGUCCACGCUGUAAACGAUGAGUACUAGGUGUCGGGGGUUACCCCCCUCGGUGCCGCAGCUAACGCAUUAAGUACUCCGCCUGGGGAGUACGCACGCAAGUGUGAAACUCCAAGGAAUUGACGGGGACCCGCACAAGUAGCGGAGCAUGUGGUUUAAUUCGAAGCAACGCGAAGAACCU
rnacentral:rRNA from 1 species